AUGGACCUUGGGCACCUGAACUAUGGGAUCAUUACCCUCAUCCCAAAGGUUCCUGGGGCCUCAGACAUCCGCCAGUUCCACCCGAUCAACGUGAUUAACGUGAUCUUCAGGAUCCUGGCCAAAGGUUUGACACCGACAGCGACCCUUCUUGCGGAAUCUGUCACCCACCCCAACCAAUCCGCCUUCACCCAAGGCCGAUUUAUUCUGGAUGGGGUGUUGGUCUUUCACGAAGUCCUCCACGAAGUUCGAUCCAAGCACCACCGCGCAGUGUUCCUUAAGAUCGACUGUCAUAAGGCCUACGACACGGUCCACUGGCCCUUCCUUCGGGAAGUAUUG
rnacentral:rRNA from 1 species